AAGGGGAGCAAUCCCUGAGUAAAGUGGCGACCGGGUGAGUAACACGUGACUAACCUACCCUCGAGUGUGGAAUAACAUCGGGAAACCGAUGCUAAUACCGCAUAACAUCGCAAGAUCAAAGCAGCAAUGCGCUGGAAGAGGGGGUCGCGGCUGAUUAGCUAGUUGGCGGGGUAACGGCCCACCAAGGCGAAGAUCGGUAGCCGGCCUGAGAGGGCGCACGGCCACACUGGAACUGAAACACGGUCCAGACUCCUACGGGAGGCAGCAGUGGGAAUUUUGCGCAAUGGGGGAAACCCUGACGCAGCAACGCCGCGUGGAGGAUGAAGCCCCUUGGG
rnacentral:rRNA from 1 species